UUAACCAAUAUUAAGUCCAUAGGUCUUCCACUGUAGUAGAGCUGCUAAGGUCUUUCUGGUGUUGACUUGUCUCGGCUGGACACAAUGGGCAAGUUGCAUCGGGGGGCUGGACCUCUCUAUAGACAUGAGAUAUUGUAGGGGUAAAGGUGGGGUUGGGCAUCAAUAACUGUUAGGUGAGGAUCCAAUGACGACUUUAUUUCUA
rnacentral:lncRNA from 1 species